rnacentral:lncRNA from 1 species
GCAGCGGGAUGGGGAGGACCAGACCCAGGACACGGAGCUCGUGGAGACCAGGCCUGCAGGGGAUGGAACCUUCCAGAAGUGGGCGGCUGUGGUGGUGCCUUCUGGAGAGGAGCAGAGAUACACCUGCCAUGUGCAGCAUGAGGGUCUGCCCAAGCCCCUCACCCUGAGAUGGGCUGUCUUCCCAGCCCACCAUCCCCAUCGUGGGCAUCAUUGCUGGCCUGGUUCUCCUUGGAGCUGUGAUCACUGGAGCUGUGGUCGCUGCCGUGAUGUGGAGGAGGAAGAGCUCAGAUAGAAAAGGAGGGAGUUACACUCAGGCUGCAAGCAGUGACAGUGCCCAGGGCUCUGAUGUGUCCCUCACAGCUUGUAAAGACAGCUGCCUUGUGUGGGACUGAGAGGCAAGAGUUGUUCCUGCCCUUCCCUUUGUGACUUGAAGAACCCUGACUUUGUUUCUGCAAAGGCACCUGCAUGUGUCUGUGUUCGUGUAGGCAUAAUGUGAGGAGGUGGGGAGACCACCCCACCCCCAUGUCCACCAUGACCCUCUUCCCACGCUGACCUGUGCUCCCUCCCCAAUCAUCUUUCCUGUUCCAGAGAGGUGGGGCUGAGGUGUCUCCAUCUCUGUCUCAACUUCAUGGUGCACUGAGCUGUAACUUCUUCCUUCCCUAUUAAAAUUAGAACCUUAGUAUAAAUUUACUUUCUCAAAUUCUUGCCAUGAGAGGUUGAUGAGUUAAUUAAAGGAGAAGAUUCCUAAAAUUUGAGAGACAAAAUAAAUGGAAGACAUGAGA